rnacentral:rRNA from 1 species
AACCGGUUUGUGUAGGAUAGGUGGGAGACUGUGAAACCGGGACGCUAGUCUCGGUGGAGUCGUCCUUGAAAUACACCCUGAUUUGGUUUGAGGUUCUAACCUGGGCCAGUGAAUCCUGGCCGGGGACCGUGCAUGGUAGGCAGUUUGACUGGGGCGGUCUCCUCCCAAAAGGUAACGGAGGAGUACGAAGGUACGCUUAGGGCGGUCGGACAUCGCCCAUAAAGUGCAAUGGCAAAAGCGUGCUUGACUGCGAGACCCACAAGUCGAGCAGGUGCGAAAGCAGGUCAUAGUGAUCCGGUGGUUCUGUAUGGAAGGGCCAUCGCUCAACGGAUAAAAGGUACUCUGGGGAUAACAGGCUGAUACCGCCCAAGAGUUCAUAUCGACGGCGGUGUUUGGCACCUCGAUGUCGGCUCAUCUCAUCCUGGGGCUGUAGCCGGUCCCAAGGGUAUGGCUGUUCGCCAUUUAAAGAGGUACGUGAGCUGGGUUUAAAACGUCGUGAGACAGUUUGGUCCCUAUCUGCCGUGGGCGCUGGAAAUUUGAAGGGGGC